CUUAGCCCAAAGGCAGCCUUGGUUUCCUUCCUUGUGGGAUAUAACCCAAUACUAAGCUCAUCUAGAUGAAGAAAUCAAAGCUCAUGGACUGAAAACGAUGGUGCUGGAUUCGUGUGAGAUGGUUGGCCAGACGAGAUUACAGUCUGAAGUCAUGGAACUGGAUACUUGAUUUGCCCUCCUAAAGGAACAUAGCCAACUAAUCAGCUUUGAGCGUCCCUGGAUAUGUUUCAGAGACUUUGUGCCCUUUGACUUUUCUAACUGGAACCCUCCCUGGGAGGGUGACACGUACCCUUCUUGGCCAUGUGAUUGGAGUUUGGCUUGUCAAGGGGAAGUGCUGGCAAGUGAUUUGUGGCUUCUCAUAUCUCUUUUCUUUUUGUCAUGAAAUCUUCCACUGGAUAUAAAGCAGAGAACACCCAUAGCUGAUAGCUAUGGGUAUGUAGAGGAAGCAAGAAAAAAACCCCACUUUGUUCUUAGGGGUUUUCAGGCUCUAUAUUCAAGCCGCACAAUUUGGUCUAUCUUGACCGAUACAGGUAUGAAAGACCCUCAGGCAUGAUGCCAGGGACUGAAGAUACCUCAGUGAGCAGAUUAAAUGGAGUCUUUCCCCUCAUGCCACUGGGGUUCUGAUAUUGGAUACAGGGAUUAGUCAAACAGAAAAAAUUAACAUAAAAAUAAAACUGAGAUAAAAGUUUUGAAGGAAACCAAUUUUUGGUAAAAUUAAAAUGCAUUUCUUUAAAAUGAUACCCCACCUAUAUCUAGAAAAGCCAGAGGCUGUUUACAAAAUCAAACACAACGCACAAUUUAGACCAGAGAUACAUUAAUACAGCAGAGGAAUCAAUGUUACAGGGCCCUUGAGGUAAAUCAAUUACUGCUGUAGGGCACAAUAAUUUUUACUUUUCUGGAGCUGAGGCAGAAAAGGAAAUAGUUGAGUCAUACAAUUCACAUUGCUUGAUGGGAAGAUGCAGACCAGCUCUUUGAGGAACUGAAGUUUUUCUUGCCCUGAAUCAAGAAGUAGUUUAUCAACUUUUUCCAUGAGGGACAGUUCAUAACUUAAUGGGCAAUGACUCUAAUUUUGGAAAAGUCACAGGGAUGUUGUUUAAGUGGAUAUUUCUUGUAUAUUCUUGUAUAUACCAUCUAUAAAAACUGGAGAGAAGAAAAAGCUUGAUUAAGGGAAGCCAUUU
rnacentral:lncRNA from 1 species